GAUGAACGCUGACAGAAUGCUUAACACAUGCAAGUCAACUUGAAUUUGGGUUUUUAACUUAGGUUUGGGUGGCGGACGGGUGAGUAACGCGUAAAGAACUUGCCUCACAGCUAGGGACAACAUUUGGAAACGAAUGCUAAUACCUAAUAUUAUGAUAAUAGGGCAUCCUAUAAUUAUGAAAGCUAUAAGCGCCGUGAGAGAGCUUUGCGUCCCAUUAGCUAGUUGGAGAGGUAACGGCUCACCAAGGCGAUGAUGGGUAGCCGGCCUGAGAGGGUGAUCGGCCACAAGGGGACUGAGACACGGCCCUUACUCCUACGGGAGGCAGCAGUGGGGAAUAUUGGACAAUGGACCAAGAGUCUGAUCCAGCAAUUCUGUGUGCACGAUGAAGUUUUUCGGAAUGUAAAGUGCUUUCAGUUGGGAAGAAAGAAAUGACGGUACCAACAGAAGAAGUGACGGCUAAAUACGUG
rnacentral:rRNA from 1 species